AGACAUUGUGGCUUCCUCCCUGUUAUAGUGAAACUAAGAAUAAAGAUGACGACUGUGGCUAUAAAUAACCCUGACGUCAGCCGCUAGCUUCAUCGCGCGAUGUUGCGCUCGCUCCUGGUGUUGCUGUAGCCGACGACCUUGACGGCGACGUUCAGCUGGCGCCUUCGGGUGCUUUACAAGAUCCUACCGGUCUACGAGCAUUCUGCGAGCAGCCCAGACAGAAAUUCACAUCGAGGCUGUGACCUACUUACAGGUCCUGUGAUGCAGACUGAGUGACAACCUUGACCUAAACAGGAAAGCGGAAACGGUCAUGAUAACAACAACAACAAAGUUUUAGCUUUCCCAAAAUUUGUGCCGGUGGCAAAGAGGCAGGCAUGAAAGUGUGGCCUGCACGCGCUGCACACCAGGCCUUGCGCUUGGUGCAAGGGAGGUUCAAGCCGUUGCAUCCUGGGAGGAGAAGCUUGGGGGAAGGGGAGGUAAGGCGGAUGAAGAAUAUGCUACGUGGCUUCCUGCUUUGUAGGAAUUAAACUUUGUUCCUUUUAUGUCAUUUUGGCAUGUUUUCUAACAUCUUGUUAUUUGUGAGCAGGAUUUAAUAGCUUCUACAGUUUUAAAGUCUCACAGGAACGAGAAAACGCGAGAAAAUUUAAAACUCCAAGGACAUCUGGCUACAUGGACACAGUAGAAGAGGGUCAGAAGGAUGAGUAGGAGUACAAGCUAAAGAAGGACAGAGAUGAACUGAUGGGCGAGGAUCAGCAGACAGUAACUGUUCUCGCAUGUGUGUGACAGUUUAUGAUGGACGUAAAGGGGUCGACUUUGAUGUCGGCCAGAGUCUGUACACCCUUUCCUAUGUUAAUGCUAGCUUUAGCCUAGGUGGAUGCCCUGGAGGCAAGCUAAGCCUACUUUUAUGACAAACAGGCAAAACCAAAGAAAUCGAGAGCAUGCUUGACAAAUGACAAGUGUUCACUCAGAACACAUGACAGCUGAUAAUGUUCAUUCACAACUGAUGACAGCUGACAAGGUUUGCUCAGAAUUAAUGACAGCUGACUGCUCACUCACAACCGAUAACAGCUGAGAAUUUUUUUUUUGGGGGGGGUGGUGGUAGGGAAGUGGGGAGGCAACACUUGCCAGGGAGGGCUACAAAGAUGGCAAAGGUACCAGCAAAGAAGCAGUUUGGAUAAACGCCAAACGUUCUAUGUUAAAUAAAUAAAUCCCACACAUCAAAAGAUCCAUAAAAUAAAAAGAAAACAAAUAACGAGAUGGGAGGAAUAACCGUUGAUCUUGCUGGGAGUGGACUCAUGUGAAUUUGUGUGGAGGGGUUGAGACAAAAUCAGGACGAUACCCAUGCCAUGUGUUCGUGACUGAGAAAAAUCUGUGUGAGCUUGGAAACAUGGUGGGUACUGUGAGGGGUCAGACGAUUCUUCGAUUCGUCGAUUCUUGACAACAUAACUAGCCUGCCUACCCAACAUAACUAGGCUGCCUCCCCGAAACACAUUUUUAAGACCAAAGGCGGUGUCUAGCUCCUUAGAAAUUUAUAAUCUGUUCUUAAUUCUGCCGCUGAAUCCUGCGACAUAUGAUGAUAUCAGCACAAUGGUGGUUAAGGAAGAAAAAAAAAGACACGCAGGGGCAUAAUUCGUACAGAAAAUGCAUAAUGUUGCAGUUUUUUGGACAUCUUGAUUUUUACCUGUGUUGACCUCUGGACUUCUGUGUCUCUUCUACACUGCAACAGCCAGGAUACGAAAUGUGUAACAGCGGCACACGGACAUAAGCUAGGAUGGGAUUUGAUGCUUUAGAAGAAAGAUGGCAUCCUAUUGAGUUUUGAGAAAUUGAUGUUUUCGCGAAGGAAAGUGUGUGCUCGUGCGUGCGUGUAUGCGCCAAACAAAUAUAUGUCUGUGCGCGCGAGGACGCGAUGAUAAUAAAUAAAGAUCACGAAGUGAUGUGUCUGCAAUGUUUAAUUUUAACUUCAUUCAAUCGACAUUUCACGUGGCUAAGCAGCGCAACUUUAUUUAAAAAUAAUCUAACAAGUACAUUCUUUAUUUUUCUGCUGUUUGGUCUUCGUCUAGUUGGCGUUAAAAACAACAACAACACAACCCGUCAUUCAGAGGUGGAGAAAAGUUACAGCACCACACAGAUGACUAGUCCUGACAAUGUACAGCAACAUCAGCCUCAUGCCUGGAUGAACUCCUGAGCCUGUGAACGCUGCUAAUCAAUGGCGUAUCGAGCGUUGUCUAUAUUUGAGCAUCGCAAAUACCUUCUCCUCGCCAGCUACAGACACUCAACGAUCACGUGGCUAUUUCUGUACUGAGGGGAGGGACGGAGACUCAGAAACAAAGAAAGUGCCAAGACAAAGUGUGUUCCGUGACCUUUACUGGCGCUGAAUGAGCUGUUCACUGUACCGUGACGUGUUCCUGCAUGUACACCGUGCGCGUGAGGUGAGGGUCACGUGACUGCGCGUGCUUGUGAUCAACAGAGCGGUAAGCCUCGUCCUGCUGGCUCUCCACUGGGUUGCAAAGGGGUUAACCUUCUGUAGACUGCCUUUGGCAUGCAAGUCGAAACAUACGUACAGCUCGCCUCAGUUAUAUAUUUUUCCUCUCUUUGCAGACAAAACAUUUCAGAAAUACUUCCAAAUAUAAUAAAAUAUCUUAAACACAAAGACAUAAGUGUAGAAAACUAUUUCCAUCGUUUGUGACUAUGA